GGGAAGGUGGCUCAGUGGUAGAGCGCUCGCCUUGUAUGCCUGAGGCCCUGGGUUCGAUUCCUCAGCGCCA
rfam:Dipodomys ordii contig_65922, whole genome shotgun sequence.